GACCUGAGCCGAAGGCAGACUCUUAAUCGAAUGAGCCACCCAGUCACCCCUAAGGUCAUCUCUAAUCAUGUUUGGUAGAUUUUUCAUUAUGAGGGUUUUAAAUAAAGGAAAGAAAGAUUUAUGGUU